UUUUUUGGCUUUUGGUAAUAGGGAUUGAACCCAGGAGCACUUUACCACUGAACUACAUCCCCAGUUCUUCCCCACCCCCCAGUUUUUAUGAGACAGCUUCUGAGACAGGCUUUGAACUUGAAAUCCUCCUGCCUCAGCCUCCUGAGCUGCUGGGAUUAUAGGUGUGUGCUAUAGUGCCUGGCUUGAGACAGAGUUUCUUCAAAUUGCUUAGGCCCUCACUUAUUGCUAAGGCUGGCCUUGAAAAACCAGCCUCUGUCUCAGAGCAAAGCCUGUCCAAGGAAGGGACAUGACCUUUGUCCUUGGAAAGACCCACAGAGCACUCCUAGGCACAUUCCCACCCUGCUAAGUGGUUUAUCUACAAAUAACAGGAGAGAUCUGCUGUGCCAGGUGUCCCUGACUCAGUCAGGCUAGGUGGGGAUCCAUAGCAGCCCCCUAGCAGCCACCAAUCAGCAUGAGACAGGGAAAUACCUGGGAUGCCAGAUGACCCUCCCGGUAGUUUAUGGUGGUUGAUAACAUGUUGGGAAACCAUGUAGUUCAGCACCAACACCCCUCUUGGCCUAAACCAAUCAGUUCAAAUGAAUACCCCUUUUGUAGUAACCAAUCACCCCUACCCAACUUGUUCCCACCAGUGAAUGUGCUAAUCAUGUUUUAGAGUUGUUAUUUGAUUUUCCCCCGCGGUGUGUGAUGAUUUGCUAAGAGAUGCUAUGAUGUAUGUGGGGGUCCCUGCCUUCUCCAAAGAGUGUAUAAAACUGCUGCAAACCC
rnacentral:lncRNA from 1 species